AUAGAACAUCAGAUCCAGAAAAUUCAAUAGACCUAUUUUCUUUUAACAUAAAGGCAUACACUUACACAGAUGAGCGCAGAAAUCCAAACGUCAUGAGCUCGUUGGGAGAAGAAUUCAGCGACCCCUGACAAGAGUUUGGUCAAGGGAAGAUUCGUCAUCAAGACACAGGAAAUAAAGAAGAAAAGUAUCAAUUUCAGUAGUAUUAAUGCCAGGCAGAAUGUUGUUAAAAUAAGAAACAUUUUGAUUUGAAUAAAGUAUACAUGGAAUGCAUGAAAAUGCUGGGACUUUUGAAAAGUAUAAUAAAUUAAAUUGAUAAAAAUG